rnacentral:tRNA from 1 species
GGGUGGUUAGCUCAGUUGGUAGAGCAUCAGUAUUACAAGCUGAGGGUCGCAAGUUCGAAGCUUGCACUACCUAC